GGCGUCUUUGGCGUCCGAGUUGUAAUUUGCAGAGGGCGCUUUGGCAUUGGCAGCGGUCCAAGUUCCUUGGAACAGGACGUCACAGAGGGUGAGAAUCCCGUACGUGGUCGCUAGCYUUACCGUGUAAAGCCCCUUCGACGAGUCGGAGUUGUUUGGGAAUGCAGCUCUAAAUGGGAGGUAAAUUCUSUAAGCUAAAUACUGGCCCAGAGACCGAUAGCGCWCAAGUAGAGUGAUCGAAAGAUGAAAAGCACUUUGGAAAGAGAGUUAAAAAGCACGUGAAAUUGUUGAAAGGGAAGCGCUUGCAGCCAGACUUGCYUGUAGUUGCUCAUCCGGGUUUUUACCCGGUGCAYUCUUCUACGGGCAGGCCAGCAUCAGUUUGGGCGGUUGGAUAAAGGUCUCUGUCACGUACCUCCUCUCGGGGAGAUCUUAUAGGGGAGACGACAUGCAACCAGCCUGGACUGAGNUCCGYGCAUCUGCUAGGAUGCUGGCGUAAUGGCUGUAAGCGGCCCGUCUUGAAACACGGACCAMGGAGUCUAACAUCUAUGCGAGUGUUUGGGUGUCAAGCCCGAGCGCGUAAUGAAAGUGAACGGAGGUGGGAACCUUUCGGGGUGCACCAUCGACCGAUCCUGAUGUCUUCGGAUGGAUUUGAGUAAGAGCAUAGCUGUUGGGACCCGAAAGAUGGUGAACUAUGCUUGAAUAGGGUGAAGCCAGAGGAAACUCUGGUGGAGGCUCGCAGCGGUUCUGACGUGCAAAUCGAUCGUCAAAUUUGGGCAUAGGGGCGAAAGACUAAUCGAACUAUCUAGUAGCUGGUUCCUGCCGAAGUUUCCCUCAGGAUAGCAGUAACGUUUUCAGUUUUAUGAGGUAAAGCGAAUGAUUAGAGGCCUGGGGGUUGAAACAACCUUCACCUAUUCUCAAACUUUAAAUAUGUAAGAAGUCCUUGUUACUUAAUUGAACGUGGACAGUGAAUGUAUCG
rnacentral:rRNA from 1 species